CUAACUUGACUACAAACCAUGUAAGUCCAUUUUUAUGCCAUUCUAGAAAAAGGUAGAACUAUAAGAAUGCACAGUUCUAUGGUUGCUAGGAGUUAGGAGUAGGGAGACUGAUCAACUACAAUGAAACCACACAAGAAAAAGUCUUGGGUUGAUGGUGCUGUUCUGUAUUUUUAUUAUGGUUGUGAUUACAUAACACUAUGUACUUAUCAGAAUUUAUAAAACUACACAAAAUCGGUAAAUUUUACAGUAGGUAAAAUUUUAAAAUUGCAUCUUCUUAGCAGUACCUGCUCUUUCAUAAGUUUUCUAGCUCCAUCUUCUUUUCCAUUUAUUCACUGAAAAAGUAAUUAUUAGUGGCUACAAGUUGCCAUACAUUGGAAUUAGAGAUAAACAUUAAAAAACAAGAUGAAAAUAUGUUUGCUUUCAUGGAGCUUACUAUCCACUCAGAGGAAAUAGGAGUUACGAAGGAAAAUGUAUAAUGUCGUCUGAUGAUACAGGGAUAUUAUAACCAAUUAAUGGAAAGAAACAUUUAAGACAACACCUUCCUCUAUGUUUACAUCAGGAUGCAUUUUUGUAAUUGAGUAUGUAUAUUAAUUAUAUUACAACAGACAACAAGUAUACCACAAAUAAUUCAACAAGUUGAAUUUUUACAUCCCAUUACUGUAAACUCACAUUCUUAAGAGGAUAUAAACGUCAUGUUAUGAACAUACACCAAUUAAAUUUUCCCUACAUAUAUCCAACAUCUUUUUAAUGUCACUUGCUUUAUUACAAUCUACACUCACUUGUUAUUGUGGCCAUUACUUUGCUGCUGCUUAAUAAAGG
rnacentral:lncRNA from 10 species